GGGGAGUGCAGUCGCAAGAUUAAAACUCAAAGGAAUAGACGGGGACCCACACAAGCGGUGGAGCACCUGGCUUAAUUCGAUAAUGAGCGAGGAACCUUACCUAGGUUUGACAUCUCGGGAAUUUUCUGGAAACAGAGAAGUGCCUUAUGGAACCCGAUGACAGGUGCUGCAUGGUUGUCGUCAGCUCGUGCCUUGAGGUGUUCGGUUAAGUCCGUAAACGAGCGCAACCCAUGUCCUGUGUUGCAUUUUUCACAGGAGACUGCCGAUUCAAAGUCGGAGGAAGGUAUGGAUGACGUCAAAUCAGCAUGGCCCUUAUACCUAGGGCUGCACAGGUGCUACAAUGGCUAGUACAAUGGGUAGCAAUGUCGCAAGGCGGAGCCAAUCCCUAAAGCUAGUCUAAGUUCGAAUUGAGGGCUGCAACUCGCCCUCAUGAAGUUGGAAUCGCUAGUAACCGCGGAUCAGCAAUGGCGCGGUGAAUGUGUUCCUGGGUCUUGUACACACCGCCCGU
rnacentral:rRNA from 1 species